GAUAAAGAUAGGGACAGAUAUAAACAAACAUAUGAACACAAUCUACUGAAUUCAUUGUAUAUGGAUAUUUUUGUAUGUUUUCGGGACUGAGAACCUGAGACUCAGCAUGCCAGAGAAGGUAGACUAUUCGAACAUUUGUUGAGUGCCUGCUGUUGUGGGGAGUGGGGAACACAAGUAAGAAGAAAUCCUAUUCGUGCAUACAGGGUUUCAGGACUGAAGGACUGAGAAACUGAGACUAAGUAUGCCAAAGAAGGGAAGAGUAUUGGAGCAUUUAUUGAGUGCCUGCUAUUGUGGAGAAUGGGGAGUCCAAGUUAGAAGACCCUGCAAAUCAGAAAGAAAUAGGAGAGAAAGGUUUGUAGCAUGGGCAUUGCACAUACAGAAAAAAACGAUUAGAGGAGAAGCCAUGCUAUUCUUCCUCUAUAGGUUGAAAAAGAAAAUAUUACGUGAUGACUUGCUGGUCAAAAUAAUACCUCUAUUCUAAUACCUCUAUUCCUGUGUCAGAACCGGAGCUACGGCAGCAUUUUUGGAACCCAGCAAAGCUGAACUUAAGCUGGAUUCAUCGCUAUGCCAAGGUGGCAGAGGUAGACACAAGAGGGCAAGCUAAUUCCCUGCUCACUUGAGUGUGAAUGGUGUGUUGUUGUUGACUGGCCUUGAACUUGUGGUCAUCCUGCCUCAUCCUCCCAAGUUCUGGGAUUACAGUUGUGCACCAACACACCUAGCCGAAAAUGGUCUCUGAAACCUAAUGUUGCAUGGCGACUCUGUGUCUUUUGCUGUUUGUACAUCUGCUGAUGGAUGAUGUUUUGGUUUCUCUUCUCCCCUCCCCCCCCGCCCCCCCCCCCGCCCCAUUCAAUAAGCUUGUUAACAUAAACUUGCUCUCAGAACGAUUGCCUUGGGUUUCUUUAAAUUAUGUAAUAGAUUUUGCAAAAUGAAAUAUACAUGAGGAAUAGAGGAGAUAUAAAACAAAAUCAUAAACCUCAGGCCCACGUGAAGACCCCUUGCCUUGAGAAGUAGAUCGUCAUUAGCAUGCUGGACUCUGAGUGCCGCUCUCUCAGAGUUUGACUCCUAGCAAUAUAGUCCAUGCAGCUAAUUUUAAUGAAAUUCAUUAAAAAAUUAUACUUCAUUGGAUGCUAUAGAUCUUAGUGAUUCAUUGACUCCUGUCCCC
rnacentral:lncRNA from 1 species